GACGAACGCUGGCGGCGUGCCUAAUACAUGCAAGUCGAACGCAGUGGGGACGGGUGAGUGACACUUUGCUAACCUCCCAUCAGACGGGAUACCACUUGGAAACAGGUGCUAAACCGUUACUGCUGGAUGGACCCGCGGUGCAUUAGCUAGUUGGUGAGGUAACGGCUCACCAAGGCCACGAUGCAUAGGCGACCUGAGAGGGUGAUGGGCCACACUGGGACUGAGACACGGCCUAGACUCCUACGGGAGGCAGCAGUAGGGAAUAGUCGGCAAUGGAGGAAAGUCUGACCGAGCAACGCCGCGCGAGCGAAGAGGGUUUGGUGUUCGUAAAACUGUUUCGGUAGAGAAGCGGUAUCUAACCAGUAAGCCACGGCUAACUACGCGACAGCAGCCGCGGUAAUAC
rnacentral:rRNA from 1 species